rnacentral:rRNA from 1 species
AAACACUUUCAGCAACGGAUGUCUUGGCUCCUAUAACGAUGAAGAACGCAGCGAAAUGCGAUACGUCAUGCGAAUUGCAUUACCAGCGAGUCAUCAAAACUUUGAACGCAUCUUGCGCUUCC